AUUGAACGCUGGCGGCAGGCCUAACACAUGCAAGUCGAGCGGAUGAAGGGAGCUUGCUCCUGGAUUCAGCGGCGGACGGGUGAGUAAUGCCUAGGAAUCUGCCUGGUAGUGUGGGAUAACGUCCGCAAACGGGCGCUAAUACCGCAUACGUCCUGAGGGAGAAAGUGGGGGUUCUUGGGACCUCGCGCACUCAGAUAAGCCUAGGUCGGUUUAGCUAGUUGGUGGGGUAAAGGCCUACCAAGGCGACGAUCCGUAACUGGUCUGAGAGGAUGACCAGUCACACUGGAACUGAGACACGGUCCAGACUCCUACGGGAGGCAGCAGUGGGGAAUAUUGGACAAUGGGCGAAAGCCUGAUCCAGCCAUGCCGCGUGUGUGAAGAAGGUCUUCGGAUUGUAAAGCACUUUAAGUUGGGAGGAAGGGCAGUAAGUUAAUACCUUGCUGUUUUGACGUUACCAACAGAAUAAGCACCGGCUAACUUCGUG
rnacentral:rRNA from 1 species